ACCCGCUGAACUUAAGCAUAUCAAUAAGCGGAGGAAAAGAAACUAACGAGGAUUCCCCUAGUAACUGCGAGUGAAGCGGGAGGAGCUCAAAUUUCGAAUCUGGCGGUCCUCGGCCGUCCGAGUUGUAAUCUAGAGAAGCGUCUUCCGCGCCGGACCGUGUACAAGUCUCCUGGAAGGGAGCGUCGUAGAGGGUGACAAUCCCGUCUCUGACACGGAACCCCCCGGGGCUAUGUGAUGCGCUCUCGACGAGUCGAGUUGUUUGGGAAUGCAGCUCAAAUCGGGUGGUAAACUCCAUCUAAAGCUAAAUAUUGGCGAGAGACCGAUAGCGAACAAGUACCGUGAGGGAAAGAUGAAAAGGACUUUGGAAAGAGAGUUAAACAGUACGUGAAAUUGCUGGAAGGGAAACGCUUGACGUCAGUCGCGUCGACCGGGGAUCAACCUCGCUUCUCGCUGGGCGUAUUUCCUGGUCGACGGGUCAGCAUCGAUUUCGGUCGUCGUAGAAGGAUGGGAGCGAACGUGGCACUCUACGGGAGUGUGUUAUAGCCUCUCUUAUGGAUGCGAUGGUCGGGAUCGAGGAACUCGGCACGACCCCUCGAGGGUUCGGGGCUUCGGUCCACGUAGCGUGCCCAGGAUGCUGGCGUAAUGGCUUUAAGCGACCCGUCUUGAAACACGG
rnacentral:rRNA from 1 species